rnacentral:rRNA from 1 species
UUUGACCUCAAAUCAGGUAGGACUACCCGCUGAACUUAAGCAUAUCAAUAAGCGGAGGAAAAGAAACUAACAAGGAUUCCCCUAGUAACUGCGAGUGAAGCGGGAAAAGCUCAAAUUUGAAAUCUGGCAGUCUAUUUUUUCUUCUUUGGCUGUCCGAGUUGUAAUCUAGAGAAGUGCUUACCUGCACUGGACCAUGUAUAAGUCUCCUGGAAUGGAGCGUCACAGAGGGUGAGAAUCCCGUCUUUGACAUGGACUGCCAGUGUGUUGUGGUGUGCUCUCAAAGAGUCGAGUUGUUUGGGAAUGCAGCUCUAAAUGGGUGGUAAACUCCAUCUAAAGCUAAAUAUUGGCGAGAGACCGAUAGCGAACAAGUACCGUGAGGGAAAGAUGAAAAGGACUUUGGAAAGAGAGUUAAACAGUAUGUGAAAUUGUUGAAAGGGAAACGCUUGAAGUCAGUUAUGUUGGCUAGGGAUCAACCUAGCUGUCUUUUGCUGGGUGAAUUUCCUAGUCUGACAGGCCAACAUCAGUCUUGACUGCUGGAAAAGAGCAGAGGGAAUGUGGCACCUUCGGGUGUGUUAUAGCCCUUUGUCAUAUGUGGCGGUUGGGACUGAGGGAUGCAGCGUGCCGCGAGGCUGGGUUUCGACCACGUUCACGCUUAGGAUGUUGGCUUUUAAUGGCUUCAAUCGACCCGUCUUGAAACACGGACCAAGGAGUCUAACAUGCCUGCAAGUGUUUGGGUGGAAAACCCUUGCGCACAAUGAAAGUGAAAGUUGAGAUCCCUGUCAUGGGGAGCAUCGACGCCCGGACUUGAGCUUUUAGCGACGGAUCCGCGGUAGAGCAUGCAUGUUGGGACCCGAAAGAUGGUGAACUAUGCCUGAAUAGGGCAAAGCCAGAGGAAACUCUGGUGGAGGCUCGUAGCGAUUCUGACGUGCAAAUCGAUCGUCAAAUUUGGGUAUAGGGGCGAAAG